CAGCCUGCUCCAGCCGACCCCGAUCGGAACGGUCGGCCACGCGGGACGUGUCGACGCGGGCGGCCGAGAGUUACUGGGCCACUCAUCUUCUGCCUGCGCCCCAGCUGUGCCCGCUUCUUCGCCUCUACGCCAGGCCAUCCAUCCCUGCACGGGCAGGCCCAGCACCAGGCUGUGAGGGAAUCAUGUUGGAAGCAUCCUCGUGGAAUGAACCACGGUGUCACUCGGGAGCUCUCACUCUGAGGCACAACGUCCCCUUUCUGCCAUUAAGAGCGGCACCUGAAGCCACCUCAAAGGCUCAGCUUGUCAGCCAGGCUUUCUCACAGCCACAUGCUUCUGCAGUUAAUACCAUCUAAACCCCCAGA